UACGAAGGGGGCGAGCGUUGUUCGGAUUUACUGGGCGUAAAGGGCGCGUAGGCGGCCUUGUCAGUCAGGCGUGAAAGCCCCGGGCUCAACCUGGGAACGGCGCUUGGGACGGCGAGGCUGGAGUUCGGGAGAGGAGAGUGGAAUUCCCAGUGUAGAGGUGAAAUUCGUAGAUAUUGGGAAGAACACCGGUGGCGAAGGCGGCGCUCUGGACCGAGACUGACGCUGAGGCGCGACAGCGUGGGGAGCGAACAGG
rnacentral:rRNA from 1 species